AAUUUAUAUUCUUUUUGCAAAGAGACAUUGAGAUGAAGAGGCUGCUCCGUGUGACCUUCCUCCUGAAGGUUUUUUCAUGUCUGUCCCAUGCUGUUACUGUGACUCAGGACAAAGCCUUUAUAUUGCUGAGUGUUGGAAGAAGUAUGGAUGAAAUGUCCUGUACGCAUGAUGCAACCGGCACCUAUCGUAUGUACUGGUACCAGCAGAAACCAGGAGAAGGCUUGGUGCUUAUUGCAAUGUCAAUAGCAGAGAAUGAUGCCAGCUUAGAAAAAGAUUUUAAGGAAACGUGGACAAUGACUCGGCCAAGCAAUCAGAAAUCUACGUUAAAACGGAAUGGGGCAGUAAACAUCACGGACUCUGCUGUGUAUUAUUGUGCAGCGAGUGACACAGCUAUAGCAAACUGA